rnacentral:rRNA from 1 species
UAAGCCAUGCAUGUCUAAGUAUAAGUUAUAUAUGGCGAAACUGCGAAUGGCUCAUUAAAACAGUUAUAAUUUAUUUGAUGAUUUUUUUACAUGGAUAACCGUGGGAAACUGGGGCUAAUACAUGCACAAAGGCCGCAAGGCUGUAUUUAUUAGUUUCAAAUCAAUAUAACCUAGUUAUUUUGUGAGGAAUCAUAAUAACUUAACGGAGCGCAGCGAUGCGCCGCAUCAUUCAAGUUUCUGCCCUAUCAGCUUUGGAUGGUAGUGUAUUGGACUACCAUGGCUAUAACGGGUAACGGGGAAUUGGGGUUCGAUUCCGGAGAAGGAGCCUGAGAAACGGCUACUAUUUCUAAGGAAGGCAGCAGGCGCGUAAAUUACCCAAUCCUGACUCAGGGAGGUAGUUAAUAGAAAUAACACGUUCGGCUCAUUGAGACUUGAAUUUGUAAUGAACCAAAUUUAGUUCACUUGGUGAAUCCUAUUGGAGGGCAAGUCUGGUGCCAGCAGCCGCGGUAAUUCCAGCUCCAAUAGCGUAUAUUAAAGUUGUUGCAGUUAAAAAGCUCGUAGUUGAAUUUCCGGCUGUUUUCAGCCUGUCUGUAAGGGUGUCGGAUACCGUAAAAAGUUUCUGGCUCACGAACAGACUUUUACUGUGAAAAAAUUAGAGUGCUUAAAGCAGGCUUUUGCUUGAAUAUUUCAGCAUGGAAUAAUAAAAGACGACUUCAGUCAUUUUAUUGGUUAUUGACAGAAGUAAUGAUUAACAGAAACAGUUGGGGGCAUUCGUAUUUGAUAGUCAGAGGUGAAAUUCUUAGAUUUAUCAAAGACGAACUAAUGCGAAAGCAUUUGCCAAGAAUGUUUUCAUUAAUCAAGAACGAAAGUUAGGGGAUCCAAGACGAUUAGAUACCGUCGUAGUCCUAACUAUAAACUAUACCGACUAGGGAUUGGAUGGGAUCUCCCCAUUCAGCACCUAAUGAGAAAUCAAAGUCUUUGGGUUCUUGGGGGAGUAUGGUCGCAAGACUGAAACUUAAAGAAAUUGACGGAAGGGCACCACCAGGAGUGGAGCCUGCGGCUUAAUUUGACUCAACACGGGGAAACUUACCAGGUCCAGACAUAGUAAGGAUUGACAGAUUGAUAGCUCUUUCUUGAUUCUAUGGGUGGUGGUGCAUGGCCGUUCUUAGUUGGUGGAGUGAUUUGUCUGGUUAAUUCCGAUAACGAACGAGACCUUAACCUGCUAACUAGUCUCGCUCAUUAUAUGGGUGCUGACUUCUUAGAGGGACUAUGUGACGAUAAGCACAUGGAAGUUUGAGGCAAAAACAGGUCUGUGAUGCCCUUAUAUGUCCUGGGCUGCACGCGUGCUACACUGAUGCAUACAACAAGUGCCUAGCCUGCUAAGGUAUGGCAAUCUCGAAUAUGCAUCGUGAUGGGGAUAGAUCUUUGCAAUUAUAGAUCUUGAACGAGGAAUUCCUAGUAAGUGCAAGUCAUCAUCUUGCAUUGAUUAUGUCCCUGCCCUUUGUACACACCGCCCGUCGCUCCUACCGAUACCGGGUGAUCCGGUGAACCUUUUGGACCGUAACCGGAAAAAUAAGUAAACCAUAUCACCUAGAGGAAGGAGAA